rnacentral:lncRNA from 1 species
ACUUGGUGCAUGCUGAUAAACUUGAAAAUGUGCUUCCAAAUCAUUUAAUUUCUGGCAUGUACUGUACGAAUCUAAUACAAAUAAAUAAAUCAGUGGGGCAAGGAUAAAAUGCUAGAAGAAUAAGUACACUAAGUUUAACAGCACUUUUAAGUCCUUGAGGAAGUUAAAAUUUCAUUUUUAUAGUUUUGUGUGUUUCGUGAAUUUCUUUUCAAUGAAUGUGAAUUAUCUUUGAUUAUAAAAGUACACAUAUAUGCUGAUGAAUAUUUUCCAAUUUGAAAAAGAAAACGAUUUCAGGUAAAAUUUUCUCUGCAUUUUCUAUGUAGCAGGUGUUGCAAUGCAGUGGGUCAUUUACGUGGUCAAGUAUUUAAAAAGCACUCCUUACAUCCAAAACUCUGCCAAAAGUUAGGACCGAACUGGGCAUGUUUAUGUUAUUUAUAUUAAGAUGGGUCAGCUAGGAAAGGCUGCUUGGACGGAAGGAUUGUCCUGGCCCCCAAGGUUUGCACAGAGCCUGGGCAUAUAAUACAGCUGCACAGACCAAAAAUGGUGUUUUAUCCCCGUGAGCAAACAAGGAGGCAAAGCUUUAAGACAGUAGCUGAUUGAGAGUGGGACGAAUUAUUAUUUUAUCCAUGUGAUGAUUUCAUUACAUAGUUUCUGCCCUUUCUAUUAAAUCCUGGAGGUGUUCUCAAUUUACUUAAAACAGUCUUUCCCUCCUUAUUUUAGUGACUGUGUUCUUUAUACGUACGUGCCGCGACUUACCUUAUUAGUACCUGACAGAUGGACUUGGGAGUUGCUUCCAAUUUUGGCCGUCCUCACACCGCUGCAGUGAAUAUCCUGGACAGAGUCACUUGUCACCAGGGGACGUAUCUCUAUACGAUAGAUCCUUAAUGUGGACUUGCUGGGUCAGAGGUUUCAUGCAUUUUAAAUUGUGAUAAACAACCAUACCAACUGCACUGUAAUUAACAGAGAGAUCCUGUUCGCCAGCCCAGGGUCCCAACCCACGUGUUAUUUCUUGGUGGUUUUAGAAGUGAAGCAUGUAACUCAUAGUUUGGAUUUGCACAUCUCCUCGUUUGAUAACAGUAAGUGUAACAUCUAUAUUUUCCUCGGCUAUUUUUGUGCAUUCUUUUCGGGAAGCCCUUGUUGUUUUUCUCGCCAGUACAUGAGACUGAUAUUUAGCAUGAAGACAUCAUCUCCUUGUCUGCUAUAAGUUGCAAGUGUUUUCUUCAUCUGGCUGUUUGUCUAAGCUUCUAGUUCAGUUUUUCAUGUUUCAGCUGGAUCCAUCUGAAAUUUAUUUUGGUAAAAUAUGUAAAGGAGUCUCCGAUUUUUUUUGUUUUUUCGUAUGGCUACCUCUCACCAAAGUGGGUAUGAACAGAACAUAACAGACUCAUAGCCAUUUAUGACAAACACACAGCUACCGUAAUACUCAGUGGGGAAAAGCUGAAAGCCUUUGUGCUG